GGAGUCCCUCUGAUGACACCACAAAUCUGGGAAUGAAGAACUUCUUGGAGCUGAUUGGAAAUGGCAUUGCGAAGCUGAAACUUAACUGGAGGAAAUAUAUCUCCUGAAGAAGAAAAUAUAAUGCACUGUAAGGAUCUGACUUCUGGUGAAAAAUUCAAGCCUAGAGAAAACUUGUCCACUUUGUUAGGAAGAAUGGGUUGGACAAUUUUCUUCAAUUCCAAAGGAUAUCUGAAUGCCAUGCUGAGCUUAAUCUCUGCAGCAUGCUCUGUGCUUCUCAUCUCUUCCUGAUGCACUGCAUGGUUAUCCUGAAGGGGAGGAUAAAGAAACUGGCCACCAAGAUGGUAAUCACUAGUGGAAAUGAAGAAGAUAAAGGCAGUCAAGAAAAGGAAAGCAAAGAAGAAACCAUCUUGGCAAUGCUUGGAAUUAUUGGGACAAUUCUGAAUCUCAUUGUGAUCAUUUUUGUGUAUAUUUACACGACAUUGUAAACUAGAAGGCAUGCAAAUAGACCAGAUAAAACGGCCAUUAAGAGUGACUACAAACACUGCUGACUAUUGACAAGUUGUUUAAUCAGAAUUGACUCUGUAUUAUAUUAACACAUCAUAAAAGCACUGCCUGAAGGCAGCGAAGACUGAAGCACAAUUAAUUGAACAAGACUUUUUCACACAGUAACAAGCUUAACUCUUCUGUCCUGCCCGCUUCCUUUCGGUUUUCAGUUUGGGGGAAAAUGACUGCCAUUAUGUAAGUUGUAGCUUUGAAAAAAUCCACCAGGGAUAUGUUGUUUUAACACAAUUAAAACAAAAAGAAAGAAAGAAAGAAAGAAACUGUACACUAUAUACCAUUAGAAAUGUAUCCUGUAUACCCGCAAAGAUUGAACUCAAAGAUAGCUUCAUAGCACAGAUCAUGUGUCUGUUAGGUCAAAUGUUUUUUUUCUCUCAGUUUGUGCUUUUACUUAUAUUGAAUCUGACAAGCUUUUUAUUUAGAAUGAACAUAUGGUGCAAUCAUGAAAAAAACCAAUUCCAUUGAGCAAGGCCUGCCUAAACCUGAUAAAAUGUUGGAAGAAACACAUUACAUGGUUAUUUUUCUUUUCUCGUUUGCUUAACGUCUGUGUCUGUUCAUACCAAUGUUUAUAAAUAUAUAUUUUUAAUAAAUGUGCUAUAUUUUUAGCAUGAACCAAA